rnacentral:rRNA from 1 species
CCUACGGGAGGCAGCAGUAGGGAAUUUUCGUCAAUGGGCGCAAGCCUGAACGAGCGAUGCCGCGUGAGUGAAGAAGGCCUUCGGGUCGUAAAGCUCUGUUGCGGGGGAAAAAAGCCGCAUCAGGAAAUGGGUUCUGACUGAUUGUUCCCCGCCAGAAAGUCACGGCUAACCACGUUCCAGCAGCCGCGGUAAUACGUAGGUGGCGAGCGUUAUCCGGAAGGGUUGGGCGUAAAGGGUGCGCAGGCGGGCCUGCAAGUCUGGAGUGAAACGCAUGAGCUCAACUCAGGAAUGGCUUUGGAAACUGGAGGACUGGAGAGCAGGAGAGGGCGGUGGAACUCCAUGUGUAGCGGUAAAAUGCGUAGAUAUAGGGAAGAACACCAGUGGCGAAGGCGGCCGCCUGGCCUGUGGCUGACGCUGAGGCACGAAAGCGUGGGGAGCAAAUAGGAUUAGAUACCCCAGUAGUC